rnacentral:rRNA from 1 species
UACGUAGGGUGCAAGCGUUGUCCGGAAUUAUUGGGCGUAAAGAGCUCGUAGGUGGCCUGUCGCGUCGGCUGUGAAAACUCGGGGCUCAACUCCGAGCUUGCAGUCGAUACGGGCAGGCUAGAGUUCGGCAGGGGAGACUGGAAUUCCAGGUGUAGCGGUGAAAUGCGUAGAUAUCAAGAGGAACACCAGUGGCGAAGGCGAGUCCCUGGACAACAACUGACACUGAGGCACGAAAGCUAGGGGAGCAAACAGG